GUCUAUGGCUAUGUCACCCUGAACAAGCCCGAUGUCCGAUCUCAGAACCUAAACAGGGUCAGGUCUGGUUAGUACUUGGAUGGGAGACCACCUAGGAAGACCAGGUGCCGUAGGCA
rnacentral:rRNA from 1 species